rnacentral:rRNA from 1 species
UACGGAGGGGGCUAGCGUUGUUCGGAAUUACUGGGCGUAAAGCGUGCGUAGGCGGCUUAUCAAGUCAGAGGUGAAAGCCCGGGGCUCAACUCCGGAACUGCCUUUGAAACUGGUAGGCUUGAACAUGGGAGAGGUAAGUGGAAUUCCGAGUGUAGAGGUGAAAUUCGUAGAUAUUCGGAGGAACACCAGUGGCGAAGGCGGCUUACUGGACCAUUGUUGACGCUGAGGCACGAAAGCGUGGGGAGCAAACAGG